CACGUAGGGGCGAGCGUUGUCCGGAAUUACUGGGCGUAAAGAGCGCGCAGGUGGUUGAUUAAGUCUGAUGUGAAAGCCCACGGCUUAACCGUGGAGGGUCAUUGGAAACUGGGGAACUUGAGUGCAGAAGAGGAAAGUGGAAUUCCAAGUGUAGCGGUGGAAUGCGUAGAUAUUAGGAGGAAUACCAGUGGCGAAGGCGACUUUCUGGACUUAUACUGACGCUGAGGAACGAAAGCGUGGGGAGGCAAACAGGAUUAGAUACCCCUGUAGUUCCUGAG
rnacentral:rRNA from 1 species